rnacentral:tRNA from 1 species
GGAGGAGUAGCUCAAUGGUAGAGCGCAGGUUUGAAGAACCUGGCGUUGGGGGUUCAAUUCCCUCCUCCUCCA